GAUGAAGAACGCAGCGAAAUGCGAUACGUAAUGUGAAUUGCAGAUUUCAGUGAAUCAUCGAAUCUUUGAACGCACAUUGCGCCCGCUAGUAUUCUGGCGGGCAUGCCUGUUCGAGCGUCAUUUCAACCAUCAAGCCCUAGGCUUGCGUUGGAGCCCUGCGGCUGCCGCAGGCUCCCAAAUCCAGUGGCGGGCUCGUCGUCGUACCGAGUGCAGUAAACAUCCUCGCUCAGGGAACGUGACGGGUUCUUGCCGUGAAACCCCCCACAUAUCAGGGUUGACCUCGGAUCAGGUAGGAAUACCCGCAGAACUUAAGCAUAUCAAUAAGCGGAGGA
rnacentral:misc_RNA from 1 species